AUUCAGGGAGGUAGUGACAAUAAAUAACGAUACAGGGCUUUAUGUCUUGUAAUUGGAAUGAGUACAAUGUAAAUACCUUAACGAGGAACAAUUGGAGGGCAAGUCUGGUGCCAGCAGCCGCGGUAAUUCCAGCUCCAAUAGCGUAUAUUAAAGUUGUUGCAGUUAAAAAGCUCGUAGUUGAACUUUGGGCUUGGAGAAUCGGUCCGACUAUGUCGUGUACUGUCUUCUCCAGGUCUUUCCUUCUGGUUCUCAAUUGGGGCUUGCUCCUUUUGGUGAUCCAGGAUUUUUACUUUGAAAAAAUUAGAGUGUUCAAAGCAGGCGUUUUGCUCGAAUAUAUUAGCAUGGAAUAAUAGAAUAGGACGAAUGGUUCUAUUUUGUUGGUUUCUAGGACCAUCGUAAUGAUUAAUAGGGACGGUCGGGGGCAUCAGUAUUCAGUUGUCAGAGGUGAAAUUCUUGGAUUUACUGAAGACUAACUACUGCGAAAGCAUUUGCCAAGGACGUUUUCAUUAAUCAAGAACGAAAGUUAGGGGAUCGAAGAUGAUCAGAUACCGUCGUAGUCUUAACCAUAAACUAUGCCGACUAGGGAUCGGGCGGUGCCUUUUAUUGGCCCACUCGGCACCUUACGAGAAAUCAAAGUUUUUGGGUUCUGGGGGGAGUAUGGUCGCAAGGCUGAAACUUAAAGGAAUUGACGGAAGGGCACCACCAGGAGUGGAGCCUGCGGCUUAAUUUGACUCAACACGGGGAAACUCACCAGGUCCAGACACAAUAAGGAUUGACAGAUUGAGAGCUCUUUCUUGAUUUUGUGGGUGGUGGUGCAUGGCCGUUCUUAGUUGGUGGAGUGAUUUGUCUGCUUAAUUGCGAUAACGAACGAGACCUUAACCCUUAAAUAGGUUGGCUGGCUUUCGCUGGUUAACCUUCUUAUGGGGACUAUCGAUUUCAAGUCGAUGGAAGUUUGAGGCAAUAACAGGUCUGUGAUGCCCUUAGACGUUCUGGGCCGCACGCGCGCUACACUGACGGAGCCAGCGAGCAUAUCCUUGACCGAGAGGUUUGGGUAAUCUUGUGAAACUCCGUCGUGCUGGGGAUAGAGCAUUGUAAUUAUUGCUCUUCAACGAGGAAUUCCUAGUAAGCGCAAGUCAUCAGCUUGCGUUGAUUACGUCCCUGCCCUUUGUACACACCGCCCGUCGCUAGUACCGAUUGAAUGGCUUAGUGAGGCUUCAGGAUUUGCUUAGAUCGAGGGGCAACUCUCUUUCAGAGCGGAGAAUCUAGUCAAACUUGGUCAUUUAGAGGAACUAAAAGUCGUAACAAGGUUUCCGUAGGUGAACCUGCGGAAG
rnacentral:rRNA from 1 species